GACAAACGCUGGCGGCGUGCAUAAAACAUGCAAGUCGAACGGGCCAAUCCCCGCAAGGGGAAAGGCUAGUGGCGAACGGCUGAGUAACACGUAGGUGACCUGCCCAGGAGUGGGGGAUAACGAAUCGAAAGAUUCGCUAAUACCGCAUGUGACCACCGAUCCAUUUCGGUGCUCCAAGUCGCAAGACGCUCUUGGAGGGGCCUGCGGCGGAUUAGCUAGUUGGUGAGGUAACGGCUCACCAAGGCGUCGAUCCGUAGCUGGUCUGAGAGGAUGGCCAGCCAGACUAGGACUGAGACACGGCCCAGACUCCUACGGGAGGCAGCAGUGGGGAAUAUUGGACAAUGGGGGAACCCUGAUCCAGCCAUGCCGCGUGUGUGAAGAAGGCAUUAUGGUUGUAAAGCACUUUAAGCGAGGAGGAGGCUACUCUAGUUAAUACCUAGGGAUAGUGGACGUUACUCGCAGAAUAAGCACCGGCUAACUCUGUGCCAGCAGCCGCCGUAA
rnacentral:rRNA from 1 species